UUCAUGUUGGCAGAUAAAUGCUAUCGACUUAAGCUCGGCCCAUGAAAACUUCCUUUCACAUGAAG
rnacentral:tRNA from 1 species